CCUACGGGUGGCAGCAGUGAGGAAUAUUGGUCAAUGGGAGAGAUCCUGAACCAGCCAAGCCGCGUGAGGGAAGACGGCCCUAUGGGUUGUAAACCUCUUUUGUCGGAGAACAAAACCCGGGACGUGUCCCGGACUGCGUGUAUCCGAAGAAAAAGCAUCGGCUAACUCCGUGCCAGCAGCCGCGGUAAUACGGAGGAUGCGAGCGUUAUCCGGAUUUAUUGGGUUUAAAGGGUGCGUAGGCGGUCCGUUAAGUCAGCGGUAAAAUUGCGGGGCUCAACCCUGUCGAGCCGUUGAAACUGGCAGACUUGACUUGGCGAGAAGUACGCGGAAUGCGCGGUGUAGCGGUGAAAUGCAUAGAUAUAUGGAAGAACACCAGUGGCGAAGGCGGCUGUCUGGUCUGCAACUGACGCUGAGGCUCGAAAGCAUGGGUAGCGAACAGGAUUAGAUACCCUUGUAGUC
rnacentral:rRNA from 1 species